AAUCAACGCNGGCGGCGUGCCUAACACAUGCAAGUCGCACGAGAAAGGGACUUCGNUCUUGAGUAAAGUGGCGCACGGGUGAGUAACACGUGACUAAUCUACCCUCGAGUGGGGAAUAACUGAGAGAAAUCUUAGCUAAUACCGCAUAACACUUACGAGUCAAAGCAGCAAUGCGCCUGGGGAGGAGGUCGCGGCCGAUUAGCUAGUUGGCGGGGUAAUGGCCCACCAAGGCGAUGAUCGGUAUCCGGCCUGAGAGGGCGCACGGACACACUGGAACUGAAACACGGUCCAGACUCCUACGGGAGGCAGCAGUGGGGAAUUUUGCGCAAUGGGGGAAACCCUGACGCAGCAACGCCGCGUGGAGGAUGAAGUAUCUUGGUACGUAAACUCCUUUCGAUGGGGAGGAUAAUGACGGUACCCAUAGAAGAAGCCCCGGCUAACUUCGUGCCAGCAGCCGCGGUAAUACGAGGGGGGCAAGCGUUGUUCGGAAUUAUUGGGCGUAAAGGGUGCGUAGGCGGUUUGACAAGUCAUCUGUGAAAUCUAUGGGCUCAACCCAUAGUCUGCAGGCGAAACUGUCGGGCUUGAGUAUUGGAGAGGUGAGUGGAAUUUCCGGUGUAGCGGUGAAAUGCGUAGAUAUCGGAAGGAACACCUGUGGCGAAAGCGGCUCACUGGACAAUAACUGACGCUGAUGCACGAAAGCUAGGGGAGCAAACAGGAUUAGAUACCCUGGUAGUCCUAGCCCUAAACGAUGAUUGCUUGGUGUGGCAGGUACCCAAUCCUGCCGUGCCGAAGCUAACGCGAUAAGCAAUCCGCCUGGGGAGUACGGUCGCAAGGCUGAAACUCAAAUGAAUUGACGG
rnacentral:rRNA from 1 species